AACCCGGGCUGGGCGGGGGAGAGGAAGGGGCGGGGCAGGGAGCCCGCCAGAGUGCGGGGUCGCGGUGCGGACCUCGAGCACGAGCCCUAAAGACGCUCAGCACUCGUCGCUUCUCCUAGCAGACCCUGCCCGGCCUGGCGAUGGAGUUUCCGGACCUCGGCGCUCACUGUUCGGAGCCGAGCUGUCAGCGCUUGGAUUUUCUGCCGCUUAAGUGUGAUGCCUGCUCAGGCAUCUUCUGCGCAGACCAUGUGGCCUACGCCCAGCAUCACUGUGGAUCUGCUUACCAAAAGGAUAUCCAGGUACCUGUGUGCCCUCUCUGUAAUGUGCCUGUGCCUGUGGCCAGAGGGGAGCCCCCUGACCGUGCUGUGGGAGAGCACAUUGACAGAGACUGUCGCUCUGAUCCAGCACAGCAAAAACAUCUUCACCAAUAAGUGUGAGCGCGCUGGCUGCCGGCAGCGAGAAAUGAUGAAACUGACCUGUGAACGCUGUAGCCGAAACUUCUGCAUCAAGCACCGGCAUCCACUGGACCAUGAU
rnacentral:sRNA from 1 species